rnacentral:rRNA from 1 species
AUUGAACGCUGGCGGCAGGCCUAACACAUGCAAGUCGAGCGAGCGGCGGACGGGUGAGUGAUGUGUGGGAAACUGCCUGAUGGAGGGGGGUAACUACAGGAAACGGUAGAUAAUACCGCAUACCAUAAGAUGUGACCAGAUGGGAUUAGCUAGUAGGUGGGGUAAAGGCGCACCUAGGCGACGAUCCCUAGCUGGUCUGAGAGGAUGACCAGCCACACUGGAACUGAGACACGGUCCAGACUCCUACGGUAGGCAGCAGUGGGGAAUAUUGCACAAUGGGCGCAAGCCUGAUGCAGCCAUGCCGCGUGUAUGAAGAAGGCCUUCGGGUUGUAAAGUACUUUCAGCGAGGAGGCGUUACUCGCAGAAGAAGCACCGACUAACUCCGUGCCAGCAGCCGCGGUAAUAC